AACGAACGCUGGCGGCAGGCUUAACACAUGCAAGUCGAACGGUACAGCAAUGUACAGUGGCGCACGGGUGAGUAACGCGUGGGAAUAUGCCCUUUAGUACGGAAUAGCCUCGGGAAACUGGGAUUAAUACCGUAUACGCCCUUCGGGGGAAAGAUUUAUCGCUAAAGGAUUAGCCCGCGUGAGAUUAGGUAGUUGGUGGGGUAAUGGCCUACCAAGCCUACGAUCUCUAGCUGGUCUGAGAGGAUGAUCAGCCACACUGGAACUGAGACACGGUCCAGACUCCUACGGGAGGCAGCAGUGGGGAAUAUUGGGCAAUGGACGAAAGUCUGACCCAGCCAUGCCGCGUGAGUGAUAAAGGCCUUAGGGUUGUAAAGCUCUUUCGUUGGUGACGAUAAUGACGGUAACCAAAGAAGAAGCCCCGGCUAACUUCGUGCCAGCCGCCGCGGUAA
rnacentral:rRNA from 1 species